rnacentral:rRNA from 1 species
GACGGAGGAUGCAAGUGUUAUCCGGAAUCACUGGGCGUAAAGCGUCUGUAGGUGGUUUAAUAAGUCAACUGUUAAAUCUUGAGGCUCAACUUCAAAAUCGCAGUCGAAACUAUUAGACUAGAGUAUAGUAGGGGCAGAGGGAAUUUCCGGUGGAGCGGUGAAAUGCGUAGAGAUCGGAAAGAACACCAACGGCGGAAAGCACUCGUGCUGGGCCGACACUGACACUGAGAGACGAAAGCUAGGGGAGCGAAUGGG